UACGGAGGGUGCGAGCGUUAAUCGGAAUUACUGGGCGUAAAGGGUGAGUAGGUGGUUUAAUAAGUUAGCUGUGAAAUACCUGGGCUUAACCUGGGCAGGUCAGCUAAGACUGUUAGGCUAGAGUAUAGGAGAGGGUAGUGGAAUUUCCGGUGUAGCGGUGAAAUGCGUAGAGAUCGGAAGGAACAUCGGUGGCGAAGGCGGCUACCUGGCCUGAUACUGACACUGAAUCACGAAAGCGUGGGGAGCAAACAGG
rnacentral:rRNA from 1 species